GUCCAGACUCCUACGGGAGGCAGCAGUGGGGAAUAUUGCACAAUGGGGGAAACCCUGAUGCAGCGACGCCGCGUGGAGGAAGAAGGUCUUCGGAUUGUAAACUCCUGUCCUUGGGGACGAUAAUGACGGUACCCAAGGAGGAAGCACCGGCUAACUACGUGCCAGCAGCCGCGGUAAUACGUAGGGAGCGAGCGUUGUCCGGAAUUACCGGGUGUAAAGGGAGCGUAGGCGGGGAUGCAAGUUGGGUGUUAAAUCUACCGGCUCAACUGGUAGUCGCACUCAAAACUGCAGCUCUUGAGUGAAGUAGAGGCAGGCGGAAUUCCUAGUGUAGCGGUGAAAUGCGUAGAUAUUAGGAGGAACACCAGUGGCGAAGGCGGCCUGCUGGGCUUUUACUGACGCUGAGGCUCGAAAGUGUGGGGAGCAAACAGGAUUAGAUACCCUCGUAU
rnacentral:rRNA from 1 species